AUUGAACGCUGGCGGAAUGCUUUACACAUGCAAGUCGAACGGCAGCACGGGAGCAAUCCUGGUGGCGAGUGGCGAACGGGUGAGUAAUAUAUCGGAACGUGCCCAGUCGUGGGGGAUAACGUAGCGAAAGCUACGCUAAUACCGCAUACGAUCUACGGAUGAAAGCGGGGGAUCGCAAGACCUCGCGCGAUUGGAGCGGCCGAUAUCAGGUUAGCUAGUUGGUGGGGUAAAGGCCCACCAAGGCGACGAUCUGUAGCUGGUCUGAGAGGACGACCAGCCACACUGGAACUGAGACACGGUCCAGACUCCUACGGGAGGCAGCAGUGGGGAAUUUUGGACAAUGGGCGCAAGCCUGAUCCAGCAAUGCCGCGUGCAGGAUGAAGGCCUUCGGGUUGUAAACUGCUUUUGUACGGAACGAAACGGCGAGCUCUAAUAAAGUUUGCUAAUGACGGUACCGUAAGAAUAAGCACCGGCUAACUACGUGCCAGCAGCCGCAGUAAAAC
rnacentral:rRNA from 1 species